rnacentral:rRNA from 1 species
UACGUAGGGUGCGAGCGUUAUUCGGAAUUACUGGGCGUAAAGUGUGCGCAGGCGGCCGAGCAAGUCGAGUGUGAAAGCCCCGAGCUUAACUUGGGAACUGCGCUCGAAACUACUUGGCUAGAGUGUGGCAGAGGGAGGUGGAAUUCCACGUGUAGCGGUGAAAUGCGUAGAGAUGUGGAGGAACACCGAUGGCGAAGGCAGCCUCCUGGGCCAACACUGACGCUCAUGCACGAAAGCGUGGGGAGCAAACAGG